rnacentral:rRNA from 1 species
UGGGGAAUUUUGGACAAUGGGCGAAAGCCUGAUCCAGCAAUGCCGCGUGUGUGAAGAAGGCCUUCGGGUUGUAAAGCACUUUUGUCCGGAAAGAAAUCCUUGGCUCUAAUACAGUCGGGGGAUGACGGUACCGGAAGAAUAAGCACCGGCUAACUACGUGCCAGCAGCCGCGGUAAUACGUAGGGUGCAAGCGUUAAUCGGAAUUACUGGGCGUAAAGCGUGCGCAGGCGGUUUGCUAAGACCGAUGUGAAAUCCCCGGGCUCAACCUGGGAACUGCAUUGGUGACUGGCAGGCUAGAGUAUGGCAGAGGGGGGUAGAAUUCCACGUGUAGCAGUGAAAUGCGUAGAGAUGUGGAGGAAUACCGAUGGCGAAGGCAGCCCCCUGGGCCAAUACUGACGCUCAUGCACGAAAGCGUGGGGACGCAAACAGGAUUAGAUACCCUGGUAGUCCACGCCCUAAACGAUGUCAACUAGUUGUUGGGGACUUCAUUUCCUUAGUAACGUAGCUAACGCGUGAAGUUGACCGCCUGGGGAGUACGGUCGCAA